GCUGAAAUAGUUCAGUUGGGAGACCAUUAGAUUGAAGAUCUAAAUGUCCCCAUUUCAAUCCUGGGUUUCAGCA